rnacentral:rRNA from 1 species
GACGAAGGGGGCUAGCGUUGUUCGGAAUUACUGGGCGUAAAGCGCGUGUAGGCGGUUGUUCAAGUCAGGUGUGAAAGCCUUGAGCUCAACUCAAGAAAUGCACUUGAUACUGGAUGACUAGAGGACCGGAGAGGAUAGUGGAAUUCCCAGUGUAGUGGUGAAAUGCGCAGAUAUCAGGAAGAACACCCGUGGCGAAGGUGGUUCUCUGGGACGGUACUGACGCUGAGACGCGAAAGCGUGGGGAGCGAACAGG